rnacentral:lncRNA from 1 species
GUUACAAGUGGUAUGAAUAAUACAAGUAGGGCCACUAAUAGACCAUUUAUAACAAAUCUCAGACCGAGAGGCCUGAAAAAUGAUUUCCUAAAAGAGCUCCUAAAUCUCCGGUACACCACGAGACAAGAAAAUGAUCAUUAAUACCAGAAGACUCGUCCGACAAAUUGCCAACAAAGUUGGUAAGAAAGCGUCAGCAUCCCAACGGGUAGCGGCUCUAACCCCAUGAAGGACAAAUGCUCGAGUCAACUCCGCCUCCUGAUUAGUGAAUACACGUGAUAAUUGCGGGUGUAAACCGUCAUCACUAUAUCAGCGGUGUAUUGUAAUCAGCCCAAGCACGACCACAAAGGAUCAAAAUUAUUCAAACACAGAAAAACUUAACAAGCAGACACAAUAAGCAAAUAAACUAGAGAGAUACAGAAAACCUCAUGGGUCAACGAGACCAGACCCAAAGCUGGAAAGGCCCAAAAGCCCCAUCCGAGGCCCAGUCCAAGCUAGCCUUGGCCCAGACCCAAGAGCACCCCAACUUCUGCUACCAUCAGCGACCCCCAAAGCCGACCCUCAACGCCUCUGCCCUACUAUCGUCAGUUGAUAAUCUAGGCCAACACCCACCGGCCUACCUCGUCGCUACCGUCGAAGCAUCCUUUUUUAGAUCGGCAACCCACCUCACCUUGCUUCAACCAACCCCUAGGACAUUUCACCAAAGACAUCAGAUCACCAUAGAUCCUCACCACAAUCAGCUACAUGCCCAGACUAGCCCGAUCUGAACAAGAGAACUGUAAUAUCCCGGAAUUUUGGUUUUCUAUUUUUAAAAAGAAAAUUAUUUUGGGCCAAUUACAUAGAAGUCCACUUUCACACAUUUUCUUCCACAUAAAUCCACCCAAACAUUUUUACUCAUAUAAGUCCACCUAAGCCUAAAUAAGGUUUUAUAUUAGGUAUAGAGGUUGAACAAAAUUACAGACUGUCAUCUAAAAAAAAAAAUUAGAUUCUCCCCUUUAUAUUUACAAGAAUGCCACUAGUAUAUAAAGUCAACAACCACUCUCAUAUCAGAAAAGUCUCCAGCCGACGUCCGGCGAGGUUUCCGACAGACCUCCGACGAGGUUUCCGACGAUGACAAAAAUUACUACUACCAGUUACAAAAGCUACUACCACCAGCUAUAAAAGCUACUACCACCGCCUACAAAAGCUACUACCACCAGCCACAAAAGCUACUACCACCGCCUACAAAAGCUACUACUGUGAGGUUUCCGACGAACACAACAACUACUACCACCAACCACAAAAUCUACUACCACCAGCUACAAAAGCUACUACCACCGCCUACAAAAGCUACUACUGUGAGGUUUUCGACGAACACAAAAGCUACUACCACCAGCCACAAAAGCUACUACCACUGUCGACAAAAGCUACUACUGUGAGGUUUCUGACGAACACAAAAACUACUACCACUAGCCACAAAAACUACUACCACCAACUACAAAAGCUACUACCACCGCCUACCGUCAACGUGUGAAAAAAAUACUAUCACAGUGUGAAAAAUAUACUAUCACCGUGUCGAAAAUAUACUAUUACUAUGUUGAAAAUGUAUUAUUCUACAAUGAUGCUGAUACAUAGUUACAGAUCUCAAUUUCAUUCGUCUCAUACACUAUCAGAACACGAUUUCGUGAUUUCUCUUCCAGUAAAUUUCUAUUGAAUUACAAAUUCCAAACGAAGAGCGACAUUAAUACAGAACAACAGCCUAAUCUUUGUUUACAAAUUCUCAAAACAAACAAACAACUCCAACCAAAUUACAAUCGCAUCUUACCAGAAAUGUCACCUCCAAAGGAAGAUCUGGAUCUUCAAGCCGCCUUUAGAUCUGGUACUUCUUGNNNNNNNNNNNNNNNNNNNNGAGAGAGAGAGAGAUUUC